UGGGGAAUCUUAGACAAUGGGGGAAACCCUGAUCUAGCCAUGCCGCGUGAGCGAUGAAGGCCUUAGGGUUGUAAAGCUCUUUCAGCUGGGAAGAUAAUGACGGUACCAGCAGAAGAAGCCCCGGCUAACUCCGUGCCAGCAGCCGCGGUAAUACGGAGGGGGCUAGCGUUGUUCGGAAUUACUGGGCGUAAAGCGCACGUAGGCGGAUUAGUCAGUCAGAGGUGAAAUCCCAGGGCUCAACCCUGGAACUGCCUUUGAUACUGCUAGUCUUGAGGUCGAGAGAGGUGAGUGGAAUUCCGAGUGUAGAGGUGAAAUUCGUAGAUAUUCGGAGGAACACCAGUGGCGAAGGCGGCUCACUGGCUCGAUACUGACGCUGAGGUGCGAAAGCGUGGGGAGCAAAACAGGAUUAGAUACCCUGGUAGUCCACGCCGUAAACGAUGAAUGCCAGUCGUCGGGUUGCAUGCAAUUCGGUGACACACCUAACGGAUUAAGCAUUCCGCCUGGGGAGUACGGUCGCAAGAUUAAAAACUUAAAGGAAUUGACGGGGUCAUAGCUGUUUCCUG
rnacentral:rRNA from 1 species